AAAUGAAGUACUAAAGCAUAUGAAAAAUUAUCUUUAAAAACUUACAAAUUGGACAAAAAGGUCAAUAUGCAUUCAUUAGAAACCCAAAUAUUCAACUCAUAAGAAAUUGGAAAGAAAAUUCAAAAUUUAAUAUAACAGAAGGAUUAAUGAGAUUUCAUUGCAAAUAUAAAAAUAACACAAAAGGUUUUUGUUUUUCAAGUGGGCCCAACUUUUUGAUCGCUAGUUCGUUUGGUUACCGGUUUGCAAUCAAUGACAUUCUUUAGGACUUGUUUGGACGAGUAGCUUAAACAUACUUGUUAUGAGGUAUAUGUUCAUAAUUUUGGGUCUCAACCCAAAUCCAAAUGGUCUAUGUGUGUAAGCUCUUUGUUGCUUUCAUCUGAAUUAGAUCCAUGAUAGUUCAAUUUUUUGUAGCGAAGGGAGUGUGGGAAUCAUUUUUGCUUGCGGAUUUAUUUGGAUUUGGGUUUGUUAAACAAGUGCGGGCAAUGGCAAUUGACAUUGCGAAAUGCUGUUAAUAGGGCAAAAGGUCAAAGAGAAGAGAGCAAAAACUCCUGCACUAGUUCCUGAAGAUGCAGAUCCUAUUUGGUCAGUAGGUUCCAAAACCAUUCUAUCCGAAAGGACAUGAAUGCAACAGAGAAUUGGCAGGAUCAGGAAUGGAAUCCACAAUCGUCUGGGAGAUCCAAGGAUUCACCCAGUCUUGCUCUUGGGAGCAUUGAUGUCUUUUGGUAGCAUCUGGCUGUGAAGGAGCCAAUCAACUCAUCCAAGUCGAUCAAAUAAUCAAACUCAACCGGGCAAAAAAGUAAGUGAUGGCAUAUUGCGCUCCUGGAAGCAUUGUUAUUGUUUGUUUUCCAUCUAUUAUUAUCUUUAUCUCCAAUGUGAUUUCAUUGAGCAACAAACAAUAUAUGUGCAUUUUUCUUUGUCA